rnacentral:lncRNA from 1 species
CCAAAUAUCCACUUGCAGAUUCUACAAAAAGUGUGUUUCACACCUGCUCCAUCCAAAGGAAUGUUCAGCUCUGUGAGUUAAACUCAAUCAUCACAAAGUAUUUUCUGAGAAUGCUUCUGUCUAGUUUUUCUAUGAAGCUAUUCCCUUUACUACCAUAGACCUCAAAGCGCUCCAAAUCUCCACUUGCACAUUCCACAACAAGAGUGUUUCCAAACUGCUCUCUCAAUAGGAAUGUUCAACUCUGUGAGGUGAAUGCAAUCAUCACAAAGCAGUUUCUGAGAAUGCUUCUAUCUAGUAUUUAGGUGAAGAUAUUUCCUUUUCCACCACAAACCACAAAGCCCUCCAAACGUCCACUUGCAGAUUCUAGAAAAAGAGUGUUUCAUAGCUGCUCUUUCCAAAGGAAAGUUCAACUCUGGGAGUUGAAUACAAACAUCACCAAAAUGUUCCUGAGAAUGCAUCUGUAUAGUUUUUAUGUGAAGAUGAUUCCGUUUCNN